rnacentral:tRNA from 1 species
UAUAGCUCAGUGGUAGAGCACCUCCCUAGCAUGAAUAAGGCUCUGGGUUCAAACCCCAGUA